GGCGUGGUUGCUUAGUGGUUAGCACGUUUGCCUCGCACCUCUGGGGUUGAGGGUUCGAAUCCCGCCUCCGCUC